AGCUUUGCGCAGUGGCAGUAUCGUAGCCAAUGAGGUUUAUCUGAGGCAUGAUUAUUGCUAAUUAAAAUGGGGUCUGAUGCCCUCUUCUGGCACACAGGUCUAUGUGUAGAUAGAACACUCAUAUGCAUAA
rfam:Rattus norvegicus chromosome 9, whole genome shotgun sequence.